rnacentral:sRNA from 1 species
GUCGCAUUAGCUGUACUGGGAAACUCAUCAAAUUAUACCAAAUUCCGAGACAAGCUUCUUCUUCCAAUGGCGGGCCACGCCUUCGGGUAGCAGAGAUGCCGGUGGAUUACAAAGGUUGGAGAGCACUCAAAUCCUGUCAUUCGGAGUUUCAUCGCAUCACUAAUGCGGCUUUA